UUGAUUUAGUCUGUAGCUAACUAAGCAGCGUCUCUCAGCUUAUUUGAAUUGUGAGGGCUUACUUAGCAUUUUCUUUAUUUAUUUCAAAGUAAUUUCAAGGUGUCACAUGAAUAUAUUUGUAAAUAUUUAUUAUUAGCGACAAACGGAAAUCGAAAUAUCAAAUAGUUCCCUAAAGCAACGACUACCUCUAGCAGGAGUCCCUUUGUUCCCCAAGCUCCAUUGUCUAAUCCACAUUUACGCCAUUGAUUUCAUUGUAACACAAAAGCCUUUGCAUGUUCCGACCAACAUGCAUCAUUGCCACAAUUUACGAAUCUCUAAGGUGAACUCUGUUAGAGCAGAGUGGCAGAGCAGAAAAUGCUGAAACCAUCGAAGCGUGUAGCUGAAUAAAUCGUCUUAUCAGCAAGGACAUGUUUCAUGCAUUACUUAGUUAGUGAGUGAGAGUUUAUAUGUAUGUGUGGACCACACGUAACUCUUCGAGGCACUCAAGUGCCGCAAGCUACGAGUGCCCAGAAUAUGGUUAGGUUGAUAAGCGCCGGCAUACAUUAGUGCGAAUGUGCAAAGUGAGUAUUAAGCCAUGUUUGCAUACAUAUUUCAUUCAAAGAAUGAUGACAUCGGUGUUACCGUUACAGCACAGGAAUGCACAUUUAUAUAGAAAUUCGUAUAAUUAAUGAGCUCUGCUGGGGCAAACAGAACUACUUUCAAAUGCAUAUCUAAAGUGACAUUCAUAACAUAUUUAAACGGCGCGUUCAGCGUUUCUAAGCUGCGGCUGUUAACCCACUUCCACUUGCUUUUAAUACAAAUUUAUAGCGUGCGGUCCAGAUAUGAGGUAAGAAACAGAGCACAAAAGCUCUUUUCAUGUUUCUUGGCUUUUCAGCUGGGAUUUAAUUUGAAGUGCACAAUGCGCCAGUUUGCCUAAGCAUUUGCAUUACUCAAUCACAAUCUCUGCAGCUGUCAAUGAAUCCAUCUAAUAUCUUAUCUAUCCCAUUCUGCUUUCACAUUUACAGAUUGCUCUGCCAGGAGAUUAACCACGAUGAUUCAUUCAAUCUCGAAUACCGUGGCCCAGUCGUGAUGAAAGGUAAACCGACACCGAUGGAUUGUUGGUUCCUAACACGCAACACUUCGGCGACAGCAACACGCGUUAGCGUUACCGACUCUCCAUUGCCACCGAGCACACCACCACCAUCAUCAUCAUCGACGGCAACAAACUCGAAAACCAAUAACAACAACGCAGCAGAGACCGUCUGCAGCAUAAGCGAAUCAUCUGCCGCAACCGUGGCAGCAGCUACGCAGCCAUUAUGCGCAGCAGAUGAUGGUGCUGCAACUAGUCAAGCACCUUUGGCAACGGCACACACAAACACUUUCUCACCCACAUCGCCGGUCUCAUCAUCCUCCUCCUCGGCCGUUACCGUGGCAAGUGGCGGCGUCGCAUCCGCCGGAACAGACGCCAACACUGAUGUGCCAGCAGCUGCGCCAGCUGCUGAAUUGACAUAGGAAAUGUGCAACGACUCGUCAUGCUGCUGCUGAAACAUACUUUAAGUACGGAGUGGGGGAAAAGAGAGUGAAAAUGCGGCCAGCACAUGAAGUGAGUGCGGUACAGAUUAGAUUGGAUUGGUUUGAAUUACAUCGGUUUAGAUUGCAAUGCUGUUGGCGCAUGAAGGGAGUAGAGCACUGAAUAUCCACAGCACAUAACAGACGUCGUGGAUGCAACCUUACACUUUUCCACCUUACAACUCUCUCAUCUUACUCUGGUACUUUAGGUUCAAAUCGCCGCACAUGUGAGCUACCAGAAGGAAAACCAUAGAUUACUUCUAAGGUUAUUUCUAAAAAGAGUAAAUAAGUUAAACAGUUCCCUUACGUUUAUUCAAUAGUUACACAUUUAUAUACGCGAACCUAGCAUAAUGUACUGUUAUUGUAAACACUUGCAACCAACUGCCUUCUAAAGUGAGUUCAGGAGAAAAUAAAAGCACAUUUUUAUGUAUAGAUGAGUCAUUAGUAUUAUUUGUUACAUAAAUUAAUAGUCAACUUUGUUAAUCCCAUGAGACAUUCUUUUGAAAUUGCCUCCUCUCAUGAAUUGUCCUCAUGUUUCUUUGUCUAAACACAACGGGUAUGAUAUCUGUUCCAAAAGGUUUCUUCAUAACAAAGAGCUAACCAGCACAAAGGAUAUUUAAAUCGCAUAAAUAGUAGAUUUGAAGAGUCUUUAACUAACAUGUAGUUCUAAGCAAAUUCAGUAGAUAAACUAUAAGCCAAGAAACACUCAUAUAUACAUACAUAUGUAUAUGAUAUGUAGAUAAUUGUAAACCUUUUCCAAACGCAAUCUAUUAAAGCAAAUAUUCUAAUAAACUAAAAAUUGCUCGAUGAAGAAGAAGCUAAAAAAAAAAAAUAAAUAAAAGUAUUAAAAUUAAAAUGUUUAUUAUAAUAGAAAACUCUCACAAACACAAACCCGCUUGAGAACGCUAAAGCACACCAACAACUUACGUAUUCGUUAUUAGGCACGUAAAGCGAGCGUGAGCCAUGGAGUACACAAGGUGUUACAAUACGUAUUUGUUUAAGAUAACUGAAAUAAAUAUAUUGCAACUGAAAACCUGCACAUAUUGCGAAUAGAAAGUUCCGGCUUGUGUGUACACGCGGGAGUUAGGAAGUAAAUACUUAGUUCUAGGCAACUUAAGCAAUUCUACUAGCUUAUAUUGAUCGUUUGGCGCACACACACACUUGGACAUAGGUGGGAAAAUUUGAAAAUGAAUGUGUAAAAUGUUUUAGGCUAUUUAAAUGUACACAACUGCUAACUUAUAUACUAUAUAUGUACGUACAUACAUACUUAUGUACAAGCGUAUGACAUAAUUCUUUAAUAAAGAAAUAUAAGGAAGUUUGUCAACUGAUGAAAAUAGCUUUAUAGAUAUUUAAGCUGUCACUUAAACACUCACACAGAUACUCGAACUUAGCUCCCCCACACACACACACACACACAAUAUACAAUGUAUGUAUGCAGUUACAUACAAAUAUUUAACAAUAAACUCUAUGUAAGCAUGGCAAAUAUAAUCUUAACGAAGGCCGCAUAUUUAAGUCAGUUUCAUUCUUAAAUAAUUUCCGUGCUACAAUUAUUACAACAACUUUCAAAACAUUUUCUUGGAAAUUUCUGAUGUUUUCUCCCAUUAUAUUUUCCGCGCUGUUAUAAGCUUUUAAGAAACCCGCAGUAAUGUUGAUUUAGAGACUCGGACGAUAGAGGGAAAUAGUUGCUUUGGCACUUUGUUAAAAAAAAACUUCAGUAAUAAGGAUCAAUUCAGCUGUGGUAACGAGUAUGCUUGGACCACUCAACCUCAUUAAGUUAAAGAGAAAUGGUUUUGCUCAAAAUGCAUUUUCGAUCAAGCAGUUAUUAUACUAUUUAUUAACUCUAUCCACAUUCUUAAUAUAUUCGGGUAACCCCAAAAGUGUCGAACUCGCAUUGCAUCCGCAAGCCGCAGCUGCCGUUGAGUGUUAACACAACUCUUUGCUUAAAAUAAUUAUUCUCUCACGCAGCGGCAAAUUAUAUGUAACUCAUUUUGCCCUCUCCUAAUUGUUGAGGGAACUUUCUAAGCGUUUCAUUUAAGUUUUUGAUAAGUUUGUCGCAGUCUUAAUUGCUUAGAGCUUUCCGCUUGUCUACACUCCGAGUCCUGCUUCCCACUGAACUGCUGCUGAAAACUUUCGUGUUAUUUCAACAAUUGCAAAUGCCAGGCACAACACAAAAACUGGAAAAUAUGAAUUUUAAAUAUUACCAACUAAGUGUAUUGAAUUUACAGUAGUUACAUAAACAUGGCAAACAAGAAAAAAAAUAAAGUUUCAACUCUAGGGAAUGAAUAUUGUAAGAGCAGAAUUGCAGCUGAGAAUGUAUAAAUAAGGAAUUAUUGUAAAUGAAAAAUGUAAUAAACUUUAUUCUUGAGAAAACAAAACUCCAAUAAAAAUAAUAUAAACAAAUAAAGGGCAAAAUUCACCAAAAACACAGGAAAA